AUAGAGAAGCUCGUUAUUCUCUAUGCCUGCGGCCUCAAGAAAGACAUUUUGUUGUUUGUUUCAGGUUAGAGGAAUUUUCCGACCUCAGUUUAAUCGAGAUAAUAAAUAAUUAAAUGAAUCUGCAUUCGAGAAUAAUUCGAAAGAAUCAAAACACAUAUGACAUAUCCAAUUUGCUAAUUUAUUUUAGAUGUGGCCGAAUAAAUUUUUAUCUUGAUGCAACCUUGCCCCAUUCCCCCUCCAGUUUCAGUUAAAUUAUUCAAAAUGGUGGCCACCGUCGACACCCGACGAGUCGACAGUAAUACAGUAUGUGUUUUUUUAAAUUAGGCAGUACACAUGAUGUUGGAAGUAUUAUCGUUACCAGAUCGUUUCUACAAUUCUCUACGUUCGUUUGAUAAUUCCAAAUGAAGUAGUCAUGAGACUGAUGCUGCUGGUAUUGGAGCAAUCAAGAGGCCUAGCCUAACUCUUUCGACAUUCAUAAAUUUUUCUACUUAGCAGCCACCAGGGGCCUUUGAAUUUCUAUCCAUCAGGCGGCGACGACGGAUGUCAAUAACAAAUUUGCUUCCGUCAAAUGAUCCUGUGAGUCAACUCUAAUCAGCUGAGAGCCUGCAGACUGCAGGUGACUGUUUGCUUCCCGGAGUUUAUGUCAAAAUGCUUCGACCAGCAAUUUAUUCAGUUGAAACAUUUCAAGUUGGAUUUCACCAUAAACUUGUUACUGAUUUGGUUAUAGUUUUCCCCCCAUCCCUGUCUAGUACCGUGAUGAUAGGUGCCAUCAGGUAAAUAACUAUUUAACAAUCAAUUGUAUUAAAGAAGUUUUCGUUUUCUUGUACAAGUAAAAAAAAAAUAUUAACUUUGACAAUCUAUUAUUAAUCUUCAAUUCAUGCUUAGAUGUGUUUGUACCAUGUUUAACUGUUCAUCACAAAUUUUACAAUGAUAGUUCUUACAAAAAUGUAUGUCUUAUAAAUUUUACUAGGGAAUUUCCAGUUUGGCAGUCUCCAAAAUGUGGUGCCCAGGCCAAUUCAGUUCUGUGGAAACUCAACUGACCAGAACCCUCUAGCCAUGGCUGAUGAAGGCUACAAGAACAUUUCGGUGAGAGGCGGGAGACUGGAGUUGGAUACGAUCUCUGUGGGGGGGCAGCCAAGACGACUCCGGACGGUUCAUGGGUAAGU